GGGUCCAGAAAUUUUUCUGGAGGUUGAAAGAGAAUGAAUAGUCGGGCCGCUAUUC
rnacentral:ncRNA from 2 species